AGGCUGGUCUAGGUAUAGCAAUUAUACCGUGAAACUGCGAAUGGCUCAUUAAAUCAGUUAUCGUUUAUUUGAUAGUACCUUACUACUUGGAUAACCGUGGUAAUUCUAGAGCUAAUACAUGCUAAAAACCCCAACUUCGGGAGGGGUGUAUUUAUUAGAUAAAAAACCAAUGCCCUUCGGGGCUCCUUGGUGAUUCAUAAUAACUUAACGGAUCGCAUGGCCUUGCGCCGGCGACGGUUCAUUCAAAUUUCUGCCCUAUCAACUUUCGAUGGUAAGGUAUUGGCUUACCAUGGUUUCAACGGGUAACGGGGAAUUAGGGUUCGAUUCCGGAGAGGGAGCCUGAGAAACGGCUACCACAUCCAAGGAAGGCAGCAGGCGCGCAAAUUACCCAAUCCCGACACGGGGAGGUAGUGACAAUAAAUACUGAUACAGGGCUCUUUUGGGUCUUGUAAUCGGAAUGAGUACAAUUUAAACCCCUUAACGAGGAACAAUUGGAGGGCAAGUCUGGUGCCAGCAGCCGCGGUAAUUCCAGCUCCAAUAGCGUAUAUUAAAGUUGUUGCAGUUAAAAAGCUCGUAGUUGAACCUUGGGCCUGGCUGGCCGGUCCGCCUCACCGCGUGUACUGGUCCGGCCGGGCCUUUCCUUCUGGAGAUCCUCAUGCCCUUCACUGGGUGUGUUGGGGAACCAGGACUUUUACUGUGAACAAAUUAGAGUGUUCAAAGCAGGCCUUUGCUCGAAUACAUUAGCAUGGAAUAAUAGAAUAGGACGUGCGGUCCUAUUUUGUUGGUUUCUAGGACCGCCGUAAUGAUUAAUAGGGAUAGUCGGGGGCAUCAGUAUUCAAUUGUCAGAGGUGAAAUUCUUGGAUUUAUUGAAGACUAACUACUGCGAAAGCAUUUGCCAAGGAUGUUUUCAUUAAUCAGUGAACGAAAGUUAGGGGAUCGAAGACGAUCAGAUACCGUCGUAGUCUUAACCGUAAACUAUGCCGACUAGGGAUCGGGCGAUGUUUCUAUCUUGACUCGCUCGGCACCUUACGAGAAAUCAAAGUUUUGGG
rnacentral:rRNA from 1 species